AGGAUGCUUUUGGUGAGGUGCCGCCCGAGUUCCCUGGAACGGGACGCCACAGAGGGUGAGAGCCCCGUCUGGCUGGCCGCCAAGCCUCUGUAAAGCUCCUUCGACGAGUCGAGUAGUUUGGGAAUGCUGCUCAAAAUGGGAGGUAUAUGUCUUCUAAAGCUAAAUAUUGGCCAGAGACCGAUAGCGCACAAGUAGAGUGAUCGAAAGAUGAAAAGCACCUUGAAAAGAGGGUUAAAUAGUACGUGAAAUUGUUGAAAGGGAAGCGCUUGUGACCAGACUUGGGCGCGGCGGAUCAUCCGGGGUUCUCUCCGGUGCACUUCGCCGCGUCUAGGCCACCAUCAGUUCGUCGCGGGGGAAAAAGGCUUCGGGAACGUGGCUCCUCCGGGAGUGUUAUAGCCCGUUGCAUAAUACCCUGCGGUGGACUGAGGACCGCGCAUCUGCAAGGAUGCUGGCGUAAUGGUCACCANCUACCCGUCUUGAAACACGGACCAAGGAGUCGUCUUCCUAUGCGAGUGUUCGGGUGUCAAACCNNUACGCGUAAUGAAAGUGAAC
rnacentral:rRNA from 1 species